rnacentral:rRNA from 1 species
AUUGAACGCUGGCGGCAGGCCUAACACAUGCAAGUCGAACGCGUGGCGGACGGGUGAGUAAUGUCUGGGAAUCCCCCUGAUGGAGGGGGAUAACCUCUGGAAACGGUAUCUAAUCCCGUAUACUCUCAUGUGUGCCCAUAUGGGAUUAGCUUGUUGGUGGGGUAACGGCUCACCAAGGCGACGAUCCCUAGCUGGUCUGAGAGGAUGACCAGCCACACUGGAACUGAGACACGGUCCAGACUCCUACGGGAGGCAGCAGUGGGGAAUAUUGCACAAUGGGCGCAAGCCUGAUGCAGCCAUGCCGCGUGUAUGAAGAAGGCCUUCGGGUUGUAAAGUACUUUCAGCGGGGAGGCGUUACCCGCAGAAGAAGCACCGGCUAACUCCGUGCCAGCAGCCGCGGUAAUAC